GUUUUAAUAGUUUAAACAAAACAUUGGUCUUGUAAACCAAAAUUAAGGUUCCUUUUAAAACU
rnacentral:tRNA from 1 species